rnacentral:snoRNA from 1 species
GGGUCGAUGAUGAGAACCUUAUAUUGUCCUGAAGAGAGGUGAUGACUUAAAAAUCAUGCUUAAUAGGAUUAUGCUGAGGCCC